AACGAACGCUGGCGGCAUGCCUAACACAUGCAAGUCGAACGAGACCUUCGGGUCUUGUGGCGCACGGGUGCGUAACGCGUGGUAACCUGCCCUUAGGUUCGGAAUAACUCCCCGAAAGGGGUGCUAAUACCGGAUAAUUUCUUCUGACCAAAGAUUUAUCGCCUUUGGUUGGGCCCGCGUUGGAUUAGCUAGUUGGUAGUGUAAAAGCCUAACAAGGCGAAGAUACAUAGCUGGUAUGAGAGGAUGAUCAGCCACACUGGGACUGAGACACGGCCCAGACUAGUACGGGAGGAAGCAGUGGGGAAUAUAGGAAAAUGGGCGAAAGCAUGAAAAAGCAAUGAGGCGUGAGUGAUGAAGGCCUUAGGGUAGAAAAGCACAUUUAAACGGGAAGAUAAUGACAGUACCGGGAGAAUAAGCAACGGCUAACUCCGUG
rnacentral:rRNA from 1 species